CAGGAAGAACCGUCGCGCGUCCCCCUCUGUCCGUCCCCGGUCGCCGGCGCCGCCUCGGAUGCCGGAGCCGCAGGCCAUCCUCCCGCUCCGCGCGCUCCCGCCGGACGCGCCGCUGCCCCUCCCCGUCCCCGCGCCGUUCCACCCCCAAACCCCUGCCCCCGCGUCGGCCGCCCCGGCCCCGGCCCCGGCCCCGCCCACGCCCCCGAACCCGACCCCUCCCCAGCCCCAAACCCCCGCCGCGCCGCCUUUCUCCUCCUCGACGCGGCCGCCGCACCCAUGGGAGAUCGCCGCGCGCGCCUGGCUCGAGUCCUUCCCCGACGGCCGCCCGCCUACCGAGCCCGAGGUCGACGCCUACAUCGAUGCCCACCGUCCAGAGCUCCCAUCUCUCCCCCGCUCCCAGCUACACCAGCGCCUCCUCGCCCUCCGCGGCGACCAGGUUUUAGAUGCGGACCAGAGCGCAUUCCCCUACAGGUUCCAGCGAACUGAUCUAUGGAAGCCUGUGUACCAGUGGUUGGAAUCUCUUGAUAUGGACUCACUAGUUGCCACACAGCAGAUAUCAGACUGGCUUACAUCGAACCCUAAGAUAAUGGACAGGCUGGUUGAGAAACAUUCAAAAUAUCAUUUGAUUCACUAUACCCAGAGGAUGCACUUGAAGAUGCUAAAAAAGAAGGGGAAGUUGCCAAAGACUCUACAGCUUUCUGCGGCUAGAGCCACAGUUCAACCGAGUGCUGCUCCAGUGGCUCCAGAAGAAAGCAUAGCGCCAUUGCGGAAAACUAUACCUCCAGUAACAGGUAGAUUCCCCAGUGGCAGUGCAAGCAGACAACAGAGUGGUGCAGCAGGCAGAUUUCAUGGAGGAAAUGCAACUCCUAGGGACAAGAAGACGUCAUUGUCCAAAAAGAAAGAAGCUUUGCUCAAAUAUGAACUUUUGACAGAUUUGCAGAACCAAUUGACUGCUGUGCUGUUAAAUCAAUGUCACACCGUUGCCACUAAAGAAGCAGAUUCUUCGUAUGUGGAACCUCAAAAUCCAGAGACUAACAUGAAUAUACAAGAAGGUAACACUGCUGCAAGCGCAUCAGCCCCUUCAGAGGCAACUAGGGUUUUGGUCAGUGAAAAGUCAAUCCCAGCUGGAGCCACAGAAAGUGAACUUGGGCAAAAGAGGAAAAGAAACCCUAUCAUUGUUACACCUGCAUGGUGUUAUAGUGAAGCAUCGACAGGAACUGCACGGAAUGAACAAAAUUCUAAUUCAAGUAGUGAUGCUACAAGAAAUUUCAAUAUUUGGAAAGGACAUGCUAAUCCACUGUUCCGACCUAGAGAUAUUAAGAAAAAUAUAUCGUUCUGUCUUGAGGGACGUGAAACUGGUGCCAGUUGGUCUCAAGCUUCUUCUUAUGGAGGUUAUGCUGGACGAAAUUCUGAAAGAUGGACUCCAUUUCUUGAAGGAUGGAAUUCACCUGCAGUCCAGUUUGAAGGUCCUGCAGUACCUCUUGUGAGAAAAAGUUACCUGUCCUGGUGUCCAACUUCGUGUGCUUAUAUGUCAAGUGCUCCUUCUGCUCAGCCUCAUGAUAGGCAAGGUGUCCGCAAAGUUCUUGAUGUAAAAUUUCAUCCAGAAGGGUUGCCUCAGCUUGUUUCCAGCUCUAAUGAGGCACCCAACGAGUUAUUGCUUUUCAAUCUUCUUUCUGGAAGGGCAAUUCAGCUUAGAGGCCACAAUACCAAGGUUCAGUCUGUUGCAUUUGCAGUCAAAGGAGCAAGUAUCGUAUCUUGUGCUUCUAAUUUGUUGAAGGUAUGGGACUGCAUUACAGGGUCUUGCCUCUAUACGCUGGGUGGUGAUGACCGAAAUUCAGUGGGGCAUACUCAAAAAAUUAAUGCUAUGGCAGUGAAUAAAUGGCAAUCCUGUCUUGUUGUCACUAGUGGGGCAAAAGGUGAUGGGAAGCUUCUACUAUGGAAUGCUUUAAGAGGUGAACUUGCUUCUGAUCUGAAUUCGAACUUGAGGUCCCAGGACAUGGUCUAUCCUUCAGUUGACACAAUGGAGUUCUAUAGUGAAAAUCAUCUGGCAUGUGGAAGUGACUGUGAUUAUGGUGGCUCAGCUGUGGUACAAUUAUGGGAUAUUGAUUCUCCAGAGUCAUACUUAUCUUUCUCUGCAAGUGAUUCUUAUAUUACUUCCCUUAAAGCCAACCCUGCUGGGAACACUAUCAUUACAGGUUCUGGUGAUGGGACUAUUGGCUUAUUUGACGUCCGUACUUGUUCUGCAAUUAACCAUUUGUCAGUGGGAACUGGUUGUGAGGUUACAUCUGUUUCAUUUAGCAACUGCGGCACCUAUUUUUCAGCUUCUAGCACAACAAAUAAUACUUUGGUUUGGGAUACAAGACUAGUCCCAAUUAAUCAAAGCAAGGAUGUUUCGCAAAGCAGAGACAUGCGAUUUUUUCGGCCUUUACAUUGCCUGAGCCAUGGAAAUCAGAUGCCUACUGCAGAAUAUACAAGUCAACUGCCAGGUCAUGUUGACGAGGGUGAUCAGGGGGUAAAUGCCACACAGUGGCUGCACGGUGAACCUGUACUUGUUACUGUAAGUGGAGAUGGCAGUGUUGGAAUGUGGGACGUUACUCUAGGUCAACCUUGCGUCAGACAUAUUGUCACUCAUACUCGAUGUGCUAAUGCGGUUGCUGUUGCCCCUAAUGACGAAUACAUCUCCACAGGAGGAAGUGAUCAGAAAGUUGUUUUAUACCAUAAUAGAAGUGGGCGUACACAUCUUAAUUGGCGUCUCUCACAUCCUCUGCAAGCGAAUGAUUGAUAUGCUUCCAGAAAUCGUAGAAUUGAUCCAUCAAUGUGCUGGAGAGUUCUCUGAGUCAGGUAGUAGUUGUACUUUGGCAGGAACUUGGCUGCUCCAGAUGGAUGUGGAGCCAGGACUAUUGAAGCCUCUGCUUGAUGGACGACUGAAGCUUGUGUUGGGCCUUAACAUUAAUGCCUUGCUCUGGUAUUGGUUGGUUUUCCAUAGUUGAGUGCACAGUCUUAUCCAUCUUCACUCGCGUUCCCACAAAUGGUGGUCUUGGAAGGACGCUCCCUUCACAGAUGCUGUAACAUGAUCCAAACUAUAAAAGUCGAGCAUAAAGUCCCCCUUCUUCAGGUGCCAAUUCAAAAUGCAUCUACUCCGUAUGUUGUGCAGCUGGCCACUACAAUAACAAAAUUGUAUAGAGCGAUGUGUGAAUGCCACAUUUGUUCAGUAUUUUGGCUUCUUUCAGGUAUAAAAGUUUGACUCUGUAGAGCAAUAUAAAUCAUGUUCAUGAUAGUUCAAAGAUGUGCUAAAGCCAUUAAAGAAGUUACUAGUACUGUAAAAGUAACACCCUGAACUAUACAUUUGGGCCAUCUAGUUCAGUGUAGGAUAAGUAUCUUCUUAAAUCCAAAUGCUUUAUGAACUAUGAGAACUAUGAGGGCUUUUGUUCUAAAGUCCAUAUUUUGAAUGAAUGAGUUUAAAUCAGACAGUUCUGUUUGGAGUAUAUGAGCUUGCACCUCAUCAUAGUAGAAGAUCUUGUUUCUCUCCUGUUCCCAGAAUUGUGUCUUGGCCAUUAACUGUUCUACCAAGCCUGCACCAUUUCUAGUAAAUAUAUAUAUGUUGCAUUUCAGUUUCCAUGUUACUCUGUAGCAUUAUGAGCAAAUGUACCUGGGAUUUUGUUUACUAUGAUUCUAGCACGCUCUGCCCGUUUCAGGUGCUUGUGGGCUCCUCUGCUUAUUGAAUAUCUUCUCUCAUCCUGUACAAAAAUAAAUUAUAAUCAACUUAAUAAAAAUUUAACCUGAAUAGAAGGCACAUGUGGUCAUCAGGCAGCCAUUGCACCCUGCUGUAUUCUUCUAGCCAUCGUUCCUCAUCACAUGAAGCCAUCCAUUUCUCGACCUUGUCCACUAUGUCUUUCCGGCUUGUGGCCUCCUCUUUCGCUUUGUAUAUAUAUUCAUCCAUAGUCUUCAAUAGAUCAUCGUGUACAACAUCUCCUGUUCAUUUAUUCCCCAAAUAGCCAUAUUAGUCAAUGCACUGGAAACUGGAAAGUAUACCCCAGCACUGAAACCCACCUGACAUUAUCAGAUCCAUUAUUUUGUCCAUUUCUGUUUGGUAAGGCAUGUCCAUGUGUGUUUUUUUGCAAAUUUCAUCAACCACUGUUCUCUUUUUUAGGAACAGCUCUUUCAUUUUGCUUGCCUUCAACUGAUUCAGCCGCUGGACUUCAGAUUCAACCUAUUUCAUUCAAUAUGGUAAAUUUAAUAACCUAUCAGCUUCAAGAAGAUAUACUGACAUACGUCGUGUUUUUUUUUCUUUUGAAGUUUCAUCUCUGGGCUUUACCUGUUGAAUUGUCUCAAGUGUGAGGCUUCCAGGACCUAACAUACCAUUUACUGAAGUCAUUGCAAGUAUCUUCAUUUGCCCAUAUGGUUGGCGCUCCUCCAUGGUAGUAUCGAGAGUAUCCCAUAAGUUUGUUAAUGCUUUUACGAGGUUUUGGAGCUACAAAAUAAUACCUGCAUUAGUAGGCAAUAAUGUAUGUAGUUCCCAAGUUUCUUUAUUAUUCUUUCUUUAAUUUUCGCUGUAUAUUUCCUAUUAGAACUAGCAGCAGCAAUAACUUGUUACUCCUAAAAUUAUUAAUAAGUUCAAAGGUGAUAUUUUGUAAGAGGACUAAUGAAGUGUCUGGUAGAUGCAUUAAGCCAGUUUGCUUUCUGCUAUUCUUGAUCUAAUUACGCUAAUUCUUUUCAAUACGUAUCACUCCCUGAGAGCCUGAAUGUAACCACAGUGGUUGGUACCAGACAUAUGAUAAACCACCUUCUCCCUUCUUUUGUUCUUCUCUUCUUUAAGCUGCUGAACAGUCAUGUUGAGCUUUUUGAGGAUUUCAUCACUGAUAUUCUUUGUCUGUUGCUCAUUUGGUCCAUCUAACAAUCUUGGGUGAACAUUAGCAAGUAGCUUUGAAGGAUCCAUUCCCAUGACUUUUGCAAAAUUGUGAAUUAAAACUUUGUAUUCUUCAACUUUGCAGAGGCGAUCACUCUGGAGAAAACGAAAUUCCAAAAUCAGAUCCAGGCCUGUUAUUUAUUAUAUUGCAUGUUUCUCAUCAAAGGAGACGUGUACCUUCUCUCUUUUCAUUAUUUGCAAUUCGCUUUGGAAUUCCUCGAGUUUCUUCAGUGACAGAUCUUCGUCAUUUACAGUGACAGCUUCGGUCCCCAAUCGUCCAGCAAUUUCAGAAGCAAUUCUUUGUAUUUCAGUUUGAACCUCCAUGAACUGUUUUACUCUGGCUUCUUUUCUCAUCUGCAUUUCUUGUAGGGCGGGUGUAAUGGAAUUCAGCUGCUCCUUUAGAGUGCCUGCCAUUUUUUCAGGCUGCAUAAAAGGAAUACAGGGAUAGGAGCAGGUUGGUAAAUUCAGCUUCAGAUUCAGCUAAUGCUUGGUGCAGCUGAAUCCUGGACAUAUUCGCACUA